rnacentral:rRNA from 1 species
AUGAAUGCUUUGGAGAGCAUAUUCCAGAAGCCUGAGCCAAACAUGAGCCAAAUGUUGAGUAUGAUGAAGCCACUGCCACAAGAUGCUGAAUAUCUAAAGGAGUUCUUUGUUGACGACCUGGAGUAUCUGCCCCGCACCAUCUAUCAUAUCAUAAGGCAAACUCUCUGGCCCGUCAAAGGACAUUCUCCUGCAGCGAAGCUUGAAGGAGCAAUGAAGACAUUGGUUUUCUAUCUCUCAAAUGGCAUCAACUUCAAUGCUCAGGAUUUCUUCAUCAAGAAACUUGCUGCAUCUAGCUCUGAUUUGUUUGGUCUGAAAUUUUAUGCUCCAUGUGUAAUGUGCCUCAUUAAGCUUCACUCUACUAUCAACUAUCAGCCCUCUGCGCGCAACCACCUUAUCUUCUUGCCAGAGGUUGAUAUGUCUGUAUAUGCCAUCUACCCUGAACCUGGCAAGGAGCCUAUAUAUCUUCACAAUGCAGAUCACCAAAGCUUCACUCAACCCAUUGAAGGAGUUCUUGCUGCCACUCGUCUUUAUCCCUUGGCUGGUAACACUCGUGCACCUCGUCGUGCAAACACUGAAGCCACUGAAAGCACCAUGGCUCAAAGGCCUCGGAAGCGCUCUCGCGCUCUCAAUGACCGAGAGCUUCUCGUGGCAUUGCAUCAGAAAUAG